UCAAUUGAAACUUUCAAUUUAAACUUAAAUGAAUAAUUGAAAUUCGACAGAAAAAUAAAGAUAAAAAUGAAUGUUAAAUGUCAAAUUAUACAAAUAUAACAGGCGGCACCGCGAAGUGCAUUCAUUGUGAAAAAACAAUUAAAACCAGCGGAAAUUAAUCGAAUUUGUCGUCCCACUUGCGCAAUAAGCAUAGCGAAAUUUUUGCAAAAUGCGCGCAAAAAAGGUAUGUAUUGAACUUGGAAAGAGUACUUACAAUAUUUGAACCCUUCAAGAGUGCUGAAGCCUUUAAAGAAAAUGGAAAUAAGACAAAGGAGAUUAAUGAAGCAAUUGUGUAUAUGAUCUGUAAGGACAACAUGCCAGUCCGCUGUGUAGAAAAAGAGGGCCUCAAUAGACUUCUCAAAAAGUGUGUGCCGCAUUUUAAAAUGCCUUGCAGAUCCACGGCAAGUAUAUGAAAAUGUAAUAUAUUUUGAUACCCUUCAUAAGUAUAUAUUCUUUUUUAGAUAACAACAACGAUUGAAGAGAAGUACUACCAGUGCGUUUGAGCUGUGUUGAAAAUGCUAAGCAAUGCAAAUGACGUUGCGUUUACCUGCGAUGCCGUAACCAUACCGAACUCGAGUCGCUCGUUCCUUACCAUCACGGCGCAUUUUAUUGAAAAGGAUU